rnacentral:rRNA from 1 species
UACGUAGGGUGCGAGCGUUGUCCGGAUUUAUUGGGCGUAAAGAGCUCGUAGGCGGCUUGUCGCGUCGGAUGUGAAAGCCCGGGGCUUAACUCCGGGUCUGCAUUCGAUACGGGCAGGCUAGAGUGUGGUAGGGGAGAUCGGAAUUCCUGGUGUAGCGGUGAAAUGCGCAGAUAUCAGGAGGAACACCGGUGGCGAAGGCGGAUCUCUGGGCCGAUAUUGACGCUGAGGAGCGAAAGCGUGGGGAGCGAACAGG